UUUAUUUGGUUUUGGUUUUCACUGGCGCUGAGCAGGGCCCAGACUUAAACCCAACACCCAGAUCCAAUGGCUUCGACACCGUGCCUUGGCCCCGGCUAUUCGGCAUCCUUUCUGAAGCGAAAGUGCAAAAUUGUAACGAGAUUUACGAAGCGAAGCGAACGUACCCUAUAGAAUACAAGUAGUUGGAUUGACGGAUGCGAUAGAUGCACACAGCUGUCAGACCAUUUGACAAAUAUCUGACAGCCGAACUAAAUGUCAACAGCACUUGGGAGUGAUGCAGAUGCAGAUGUGAAAUCACAGCCCUUUGCGCAAUUUGCACAAACAACGCAUGCGGCAAAUAGCAAUCGAAAUCGAAAUUCAACUGCAAAUAGAAAUUGUGGCGGUCACAGCAAAAAAUACCCAUAAAGUAACAAAAGUAACAACAAAAACAACAGCAACAACUAAGCCGAAUCGAGUGACAGCUGUUGCAAAUAACAAACGUCAGCUGCAAGCCGCAACAACAACGGCCACAACGGCAACAACAAC